AUUAGAUACUGGGUAGUGGGUUCCAUUAAGACUACAACUAUUAUCUCAGUUUUCAUCAAAACAUUAUUCAUAGCUUCAUAUCAAAGACAAGAUAACAUAUUAAUACCAGCACAACCGAUGCAAGAUCAAAGCUUUUCAUCUAUAUAAAGGAUAAUAGUGGUUCGUGUUUGUCGAUCCUCAGGUUGUUUUGAGUUGGUACAGAGCCGUAUUGAUCCUCCGAGAAUGUACCACUAUAGUACAUUAGCUCUACAAGAAACAAGGCAAACAAUAAGGCCGUAUUAGCUCCUUCCUUGGGUGGAGUAACGUCUGCCCAGCAAAUCAUGGUAGUUUUGAUGAUCCCCCCCAUGCAACAGCAAUUGAUAGUCUAUAAAAUACAUGCAUAUACAAGACCAGAUAAUGGGACAUUUGCAGAAGUAUAUGAUUCCAACAAGACAGUAGCAAUUCGGAACACAGUGAAAACAAACUCAAAGAUUGGAAAGUCUAAAGGAGCAUAUAUCAAAGCACGGAAGCACAUCUAUAUCUUCGGAGAAGUUCAAGUUUCAAACAUGAUUGGGAAAUUUGAGGGUAAUUAACACAUUAGAUUCGAGAGUCUUUGCAAGCAUGAGGUCUAAACUAACUUAGGUUUUCAUUGAUAAGCUUGAAGAGAGAGGGUUAUGAUCAUUUGCUGUAGCAGUGUUGUGCUUACGAGUCUAGCUAUUUUCCGAAGAAUGAAAAACUACACAAUCAGCCCCGAUCUUUCAGAUCUAUGCGGUUUCUAUCACCAUCGAUAUUGUAUUUGGGUUCCAUGUUCAUCGCUUUGAUAUGGAUGUUUGACUUCUCACCUUCACGGUUCUUAUUUAUUGCAACUCCUGAUGACAGUGAGUAAAAAGUCGCAACUAUGAUAGUAGUAUAUCAUGGAAGUUUACAAGAAUUGAAGGAAGUGGGUAGAAAUGGGCUGGUGUCAUCUGGCUUUACGAUGUUGAGGCCAAAUAGAAGACCAUGUUUCAACCUUGGGGAGACAAUUUGCUGCAGCUUGUCAUUUUGUGAAUAUCUUGACUAGUCUGUGUUUGAUUGCUUCAUACAUGUUAGUAUUGAAGCAGAGUUGAAUAAAUUAUAUAGCGUAGGUUCUUUUCUCCCCCCUUGAUUCUGUUUUGUACACGUUCCUGUAUGUUCGAAUUAGUAUUGGUACAAUGGGUGCUUAUAAUCUACAAGUUUUAUGUGAAA